AAAAACUUUACUUGUAGGAACAGUAAGAUGGUGAAAGAAUCAAAAGCAGACAUUGAAAUAUUCCUACUCUGAUUGUCAAUCAGAGAUCCUAAUUUUGACUAUUCGGAGAAUACCCGUAGAAUGCCUCAAAGCUCAUCGACAAAGAAGCACGACCAAGAUCCGACGGACAGUACCGGACCCACCCUAAAAUCACAGCGUACCAAAAUGGUGA
rnacentral:misc_RNA from 1 species